AGUCAAUGAACUUGAAUAAGUAUAUAUUUUGAAAAUAUAAAAUAGAAAUUUUCUUCUAUUGACUU
rnacentral:tRNA from 1 species